GGCCGCGUGGCCCAAUGGCAAGGCGCUUGACUACGAUGUGUGUAAUCAAGAGAUUGCAGGUUCGAUCCCUGCCGUGGUCA
rnacentral:tRNA from 1 species